GCCACGCCCGCUCAAGAAACGUUAAAGGAAUUGACGGGGCCCGCACAAGCGGUGGAGUAUGUGGUUUAAUUCGAUGCAACGCGAAGAACCUUACCUGGUCUUGACAUCCCGGAGACCCUUAGGAAACUAGGGUGUGCUUCCAUCUGGAAGAAUCUGGAGACAGGUGCUGCAUGGCUGUCGUCAGCUCGUGUCGUGAGAUGUUGGGUUAAGUCCCGCAACGAGCGCAACCCUUGCCUUUAGUUGCCAGCAGUUCGGCUGGGCACUCUAAAGGGACUGCCGGUGUUAAACCGGAGGAAGGUGGGGAUGACGUCAAGUCCUCAUGGCCUUUAUGACCAGGGCUACACACGUACUACAAUGGCCGAUACAAAGGGCAGCGACACUGCGAGGUGAAGCCAAUCCCGUAAAAUCGGUCUCAGUCCGGAUUGGAGUCUGCAACUCGACUCCAUGAAGUUGGAAUCGCUAGUAAUCGUGGAUCAGCAUGCCACGGUGAAUACGUUCCCGGGCCUU
rnacentral:rRNA from 1 species